AUUCCCUAUGAUGGUUUAACCAUGCUAAUACUGAUGUCCUUGACUGAAAUAAUGUUAAGUUACUGAGGGAUUA
rfam:Brassica napus, WGS project CCCW01000000 data, contig: 21398